ensembl:lncRNA
UCUCACUUAAGAGGAAAGACUGUUCCAUCUGAAGAGGAAAUGUCUGAGAGGUGAUCUCAUAUCUUCAUGAAUAUCUAGGGUGUAAGAGUCAAGCUUAUGGGUUGAACUCUUUUCUGUGGUAUGCAGCGACAGAACAAGGGGCAGUGGUAAGAAACUGGAACCCAGGAAGUUCCACAUUAUCACAAGAAGAACUUCUUUACUGUGAGAUAGACAGUGCUUUGGAGUAGGCUGCCCAGAGAGGUUGUGGAGUGUCCUUCUCUGGAGAUAUUCAAGACUGAUCUGUACGUCUACCUAUGCAAUCUGCUGUAGGAAACAUGCUUUAGCAGAGAACAUGAAAAAAAAGACCCAAGUUGAAGAUUACUAACAAGGCUCACAAAGACAGUAGCAGAGGAACACUGAUAAAAUGGUGCCUGACAUGAAGCAGAAGUAUGCAAUUAUUUCCUCCACGUGGAAAAAAAGUUGCAUCCACAUACAGUGAUGCUUGCUGAACGCAUAUGAAGACCGAACAGUGGAUGUGAGCACUGUGAGGCGGUGGGUGGUGCAUUUCAGCAACGGUGACAAUGAUGUGAAAGACAAGCCAUAUUCUGGACAUCCUUGCACAGCUGUCACACUAUGAAAUGGAGAGCAUCUUGAUCAGCUCAUCUGGG